UGAUGUUGCCAGGCAACGUGGAGUAAUUGAGCCCCUCGGGACCUUUCUCUUCCUCCUCAUCAUUGAGAGAGAUGCGGGAGAGGGUGCCGGUGAUGGUGGCCGCUCGACAGGAGCCCAUGUCUUUGUGGAGGGCUGCAGACUGGAUUGAUUCUGUUCACCUGAAAGAGCCACACACAUCUCCAGAUGCAAUGUCAGAAGAAGCAUCAGCACUCUGAGAACAGCCUGUCCUCUGCAACACCACUCUAUCUCCACAAAUCCAUAAGGGAAUUACUGCCACUGUUCAUAACUGAACAAGGAGACCAGAGGACAACAACGCCUGCCUAAAAAUCCUCCAGCUCUGAUGGUAGGCCACACUAAUGCAUCACACAACAUGGCGUCUGAAGAGCGCAGCAGAAUACUGAUAGAAGAACACAGAAAGGGCUUCAGGCUCAGGACAAGGACUCUCAGGGUGAAAUCUGUUGACAUGUCCUGGUCAUAUAACACCCCUAUAUCUUUAUUUUUUUUACUGUAUAAAAUGAAUGCAAUAUAAUUUAGAAUAAUAGAAUAAAGUAUGUGUUACAAUAAUGAGGAUCUAUUUAUCAAUAAUAAGAUUUUUUUGGAAGUACAUCACAUAAAAAAUGUUAAUGGUCCUAAAAUAAUUAUUAAUUAAUUUAUUUUAUUUAUUAUUAUAAUUAUUUAAAAUUUAGGGGUAAAAUAUGACCUUAUUUUUGUGAGACUCACCCUUCUUGUUUUUGGUAGUUAAAGUAAAUCUUGGAUUAAAGUUUUAUGCUGUCCUAAUGAAGGACACACCAAGUCACAAUAUCACCUCUGAGCUGAUCUUAAUCCAGCUUUAAUAAAGAACACUAGAGUCAGAGCGCUGUUAUAUUACACUUAAUUUCAAAACAAAAACAAAAUCGUGUGCAAAUCGUGUUACUUGCUGCAUUUCAGGACUACAGUGUAAGCUAAUUAUCUGAUUUACAAUGUCCUUGUUAAUCAACUGUUUUUUUUUUGUUUGUUUUUUACGAGGUUUAAAUAGCAUUUGCCAUAAGUAAAAAUUCACAAAAAAAAAAAAAAAAAA